AUGAAGUUAUUGUGCGAUUUGUUGUGGGAGCUGCUUGUACAGUUUACAUCUCAGGGCCUGGAUUCUGGCACCUCGCAGAGGAUCUGGGGCAAGUCCAGACUUUUGACCGCAGGGGGCAGUGCAUCUGUAGUGGAGAUCCCCGAGUGUGUGAAGGUCACUCUGUACCUAGUGAGUAGGAAAAAGCAGUUCACGCCGGAGCCCCGAGGGCGCAGCGUCGCGGCCGCCCCCAGCCCCGCCACUCUGAGGAGCAGCUCGCACCAGACCUGUCGGGAGCAGCACAAGAAGAAGCACCCGGACGCGUCCGUCAACUUCGCCGAGUUCUCCAAGCGCCCGGAGAGGUGGAAGACCCUGUCCGCCAAGGAAAAGUCCAAGUUCGAAGACAUGGCCAAGAGUGACAAGGCCCGCGACGACCGGGAGCUGAAGAACUACGACCCUCCCCCCGAGGGCGACAAGAAGGGGAAGAAGAAGGACCCCGACGCGCCCAAGCGGCCGCCGUCCGGCUUCUUCCUGUUUUGCUCGGAGCAUCGCCCGCAGAUCAAGAGCGAGCACCCGGGCCUGUCCGUCGGGGGCACUGCCCAGAAGCUGGACGAGAUGCGGUCCGAGCAGUCGGCCAAGGACAAGCAGCCCUGCGAGCAGAAGGCCGCCAAGCUCAAGGAGAAGUACGAGAAGGAUAUUGCUGCCUACCGUGCCGGGGGCAAAAGCGAGGCAGGAAAGAAGGGCCCGGGCAGGCCUACAGGCUCAAAGAAGAAGGGCGAACCAGAAGAUGAGGAGGAGGAGGAAGAGGAAGAGGUUGAAGAUGAGGAGGAAGAGGACGAAGAUGAAGAAUCAAUGGCUCUCCUUUAAUGAUGUGUGUGGAGUAUGCGUGUGUGCUCAGGCAACUGUUUUGCUAAGAAUGUGAAUUCAAGUGUAGCUCAAUAUUAGCUUCAGUAUAAAAACUGUACAGAUUUUUGUAUAGCUGAUAAGAUUCUUUGUAGAGGAAAUACUUUAAAAAAUACAGGUUGUAGCUUUUUGAGGGGCUACUACAUACAGUUAGACUUUAAAGCUUCUGAUGUUGAAUGUUCCUAAAUAUUUAAUGGUUUCUUUAAUUUCUUGACUUGUGUAUGGUAGCACAGCAAACUUGUAGGAAUUAGUAUCAAUAGUAAAUUUGGGGUUUUUUAGGAUGUUGCAUUUUGUUUUUUAAAAAUUUUGUAAUAAAAUUAUGUAUAUUA